GAUGAAGAACGUAGCGAAAUGCGAUAAGUAAUGCGAAUUGCAGAAUUCAGUGAAUCAUCGAAUCUUUGAACGCACAUUGCGCCCGCCAGUAUUCUGGCGGGCAUGCCUGUCUGAGCGUCGUUUCGACCCUCGCGCCCGGCUUCUGUCGGGGGCGGUGUUGGGGAUCGGCCACACCCUUCAGUGGGAGGCCGGCCCCUAAAUUCAGUGGCGACCACGCUGUAGCCUCCCCUGCGUAGUACUAAAACCACCUCGCAGGCGGAGAGCGGUGCGGCCCGCCGUAAAACCCCCCAACUUUUACAAGGUCGACCUCAGAUCAGGUAGGAAUACCCGCUGAACUUAAGCAUAUCAAUAAGCGGAGA
rnacentral:misc_RNA from 1 species